AUUGAACGCUGGCGGCAUGCCUUACACAUGCAAGUCGAACGGCAGCGCGGACUUCGGUCUGGCGGCGAGUGGCGAACGGGUGAGUAAUACAUCGGAACGUACCCUGUUGUGGGGGAUAACUAGUCGAAAGAUUAGCUAAUACCGCAUACGACCUGAGGGUGAAAGUGGGGGACCGCAAGGCCUCACGCAGCAGGAGCGGCCGAUGUCUGAUUAGCUAGUUGGUGGGGUAAAGGCCCACCAAGGCGACGAUCAGUAGCUGGUCUGAGAGGACGAUCAGCCACACUGGGACUGAGACACGGCCCAGACUCCUACGGGAGGCAGCAGCGGGGAAUUUUGGACAAUGGGGGCAACCCUGAUCCAGCAAUGCCGCGUGUGUGAAGAAGGCCUUCGGGUUGUAAAGCACUUUUGUCCGGAAAGAAAUCGCGCUGGUUAAUACCUGGCGUGGAUGACGGUACCGGAAGAAUAAGCACCGGCUAACUACGUGCCAGCCGCCGCUGUAUAC
rnacentral:rRNA from 1 species